AACGAACGCUGGCGGCAUGCCUAACACAUGCAAGUCGAACGAGACCUUCGGGUCUUGUGGCGUCCGGGUGCGUAACGCGUGGGAACCUUCCCUUAGGUUCGGCAUACCUCUCCGACAGGGGUGCUAAUACCGGAUAAUAUCUACGGCCCAAGGAUUUAUCGCCUUUGGUUGGGCCCGCGUUGGAUUAGCUUGUUGUUAGGGUAAAAGCCUACCACGGCGCGGAUUGAUAGCUGGUAUGAGAGGAAGAUCAGCGACACUGGGACUGAGACACGGCCGAGACUCCUACGGGAGGGAGGAGUGGGGAAUAGUGGAAAAUGGGGGAAAGGCUGAAGCAGCAAUGCCGGGUGAGCGAUGAAGGUCGUAGGGUAGUAAAGUGCUUUUACCCGGGAUGAUAAUGACAGUACCGGGAGAAUAAGCUCCGGCUAACUCCGUG
rnacentral:rRNA from 1 species